GAGGAUGCGAGCGUUAUCCGGAUUUAUUGGGUUUAAAGGGUGCGUAGGCGGCAGGUCAAGUCAGCGGUAAAAGCCCGGGGCUCAACCCCGGCGAGCCGUUGAAACUGACGGGCUAGAGACGGCGAGAGGUACGCGGAAUGCGCAGUGUAGCGGUGAAAUGCAUAGAUAUUGCGCAGAACUCCGAUUGCGAAGGCAGCGUACUGGCGCCGGACUGACGCUGAGGCACGAAAGCGUGGGGAUCGAA
rnacentral:rRNA from 1 species